rnacentral:rRNA from 1 species
UACGGAGGGUGCAAGCGUUAGUCGGAAUUACUGGGCGUAAAGCGCACGCAGGUGGCUGAGAAAGUCGAUUGUGAAAGCCCUGGGCUUAACCUGGGAAUUGCAGUCGAAACUACUCGGCUAGAGUAUGGGAGAGGACAGUGGAAUUCCCGGUGUAGCGGUGAAAUGCGUAGAUAUCGGGAGGAACAUCAGUGGCGAAGGCGGGUCUCUGGGCCGAUACUGACGCUGAGGAGCGAAAGCGUGGGGAGCGAACAGG